rnacentral:sRNA from 1 species
UGAUCUGCUGAGGCGAAAUAAAAUGGAUAUGACUAUCAAUUCCUCCAGCAGUCACAAUCAUGCCUUCACCCGCAAGAAUUUCCGUACCGGCACCAAUGAUCAUCCCAGCGGUUACCCCAUCCAUAGUGUCAGGAUUCCCAGCCUUUCCGAUACCAAAAAUUUUUCCGUCUUUGACUGCAAUAUCAGCUUUGAUAAUGCCCGUAUAAUCAAUAAUAACUGCAUUUGUGAUAACCAGAUCUGGGGUGUCCGUUGCACCAGAAGAUUGGCCCAUACCAUCAC